UACGAAGGGGGCUAGCGUUGCUCGGAAUCACUGGGCGUAAAGCGCACGUAGGAGGAUUGCUAAGUCAGGGGUGAAAUCCUGGAGCUCAACUCCAGAACUGCCUUUGAUACUGGCGAUCUUGAGUCCGGGAGAGGUGAGUGGAACUGCGAGUGUAGAGGUGAAAUUCGUAGAUAUUCGCAAGAACACCAGUGGCGAAGGCGGCUCACUGGCCCGAUACUGACGCUGAGGCACGAAAGCGUGGGGAGCAAACAGG
rnacentral:rRNA from 1 species